UUGAAAGGGAAACGAUUGAAGUCAGUCGUGCAGUCAUCAACUCAACGGUAUCGUGAGGUAAUUUAUUGCUUUACGUUUCCGUGUACUUUGUUGUCUGCUGGUUAGCAUCAAUUUUGAUUGUCAUAAAAAGGUCAGAGGGAUGUGGCUCUUUCGGGAGUGUUAUAACCUUUGGCGGAAUGUGGCGAUCGGGAUUGAGGUUUGCACGAUUAUAGUUUCCUGGCCUCUCAUCGACGUCUGAAUUGUGGAAGCUUGCUGAAGCGGUUUAGACCGUUUGUGAAAAGGUUGGAGCGACUAGAUCGUUAAGGAUGCUGACGUA
rnacentral:rRNA from 1 species